UGUUAAUUGAAUAUAGCUUAGUUGUAACUAAACAAACUCAUAGUAUUUGGACAAAAAAAUCUCACGUCACCGAAUAACGCGUACGGACGUCCAACUGAUGACAUUUUUUUUCAACCCACUUUUCCUCGCUUGCAUUCGUUUCUUGUCCUUUUCUUAGUUGACAAAAAUAUGCGUUAGAUUACCCGAGGGGUGGAAGGAGGGGUUAGAGCUCACGCCAAAUCUGUGUGCUUCUUUCUUGCUUCUUUUCUCUGCUUCCUUUUUUUUCGGUACAGUCGGACUACCGGCACAGAAAAAGGAUAAACAGGACUUGUGCUUACCUAGCAAAUAUGACCGGUACAGACCAAUAAAUCUACUGUUCGAAAAACUGUUCUGUCAAUUUCUUGUGUAUCACAUAUUCAGAUUAACACCAUUUUUUAAAAACCGUUUUAAUGUUGUAUCCAGUUGCCUCAUGGAUUGCGUCCAGUAAUCGUACAGUCGUUACCGUAUUAUAGGUUUCAAUGUGUAAUGUCUCUUAUACAUGUAUUGAUAAUGUCCGACUGAUGUUUUAUAAAUCUUGUCUGCGUGU
rnacentral:misc_RNA from 1 species